UACGUAGGGUGCAAGCGUUAAUCGGAAUUACUGGGCGUAAAGAGCGCGCAGGCGGUCGAUCAAGUCGAGUGUGAAAGCCCCCGGCUCAACUGGGGAGGGUCAUUCGAUACUGAUCGACUCGAAGGCAGGAGAGGGUAGUGGAAUUCCCGGUGUAGUGGUGAAAUGCGUAGAUAUCGGGAGGAACACCAGUGGCGAAGGCGACUACCUGGCCUGUUCUUGACGCUGAGGCGCGAAAGCUAGGGGAGCAAACGGG
rnacentral:rRNA from 1 species